rnacentral:tRNA from 1 species
GGCCCGUUAGCUCAGUUGGUUAGAGCGUCGUGCUAAUAACGCGCAAAGGUCGCGGGUUCGAUCCCCUCACGGGCCA